rnacentral:rRNA from 1 species
UACGUAGGGCGCAAGCGUUGUCCGGAAUUAUUGGGCGUAAAGAGCUCGUAGGCGGUUUGUCGCGUCUGCCGUGAAAGUCCGGGGCUCAACUCCGGAUCUGCGGUGGGUACGGGCAGACUAGAGUGAUGUAGGGGAGACUGGAAUUCCUGGUGUAGCGGUGAAAUGCGCAGAUAUCAGGAGGAACACCGGUGGCGAAGGCGGGUCUCUGGGCCGUAACUGACGCUGAGGAGCGAAAGCAUGGGGAGCGAACAGG